UCUCUCUCUCCAAGACUUCAUUCUCCAUUUUCUGUGAUCCCAUACCGGUUGUCUAGGUUGGGGCUUUCUCCAGUUGCAGGUGUUCCUCUCACAGCCACUGGGCCAGAUAACAAAUGUGAGACUGACUUUAAAGACUUGUGGUGAAGUCUCUCACAUGAGAUGUGAGAAAACCAAGCUUAAGGGAUUUGAGCCUGGACAAGAUAAGACCAGGGAGUAGAAACAGGCCUUCCUGAGUAUACCUCUGGGACUAUGCUACCCACUAACAUCAAACAAACUGGGAUUUAGCAGCUCUGGAAAGGGGAAGAAGGUGGUAAAGGGACACUUUUCUAUUUACCCAAAGGGGAUUAGAAACUUCAGAAAAUGACAGAAAUCUGUUCUUUACAAAAACUUCCAAAUAAAAACAUUUUCCAAAACAUUUGAGAAACUUCACAAUUUUCUUCUGCUGCCUUUCUUCCUCCAGCUCUGACACAGAUGGACAAGCUGAUGCCCCAAACGUUUAAGUGAUGGUCCCAAGAUCAGAGUGAAAGAAAGUGGCUGUGUGUGACGGGCCAUCACUGCACCAGGGGGAGGCCGGCUGGAGCCACCCCCCACCGGGAACCGGCGGCCAGCCCCGAGCCCCCCAGCGUUACCCCGGCGUAAGC